GACGAACGCUGGCGGCGUGCUUAACACAUGCAAGUCGAACGGAAAGGCCCUGCUUUUGUGGGGUUCUCGAGUGGCGAACGGGUGAGUAACACGUGAGUAACCUGCCCUUGACUUUGGGAUAACUUCAGGAAACUGGGGCUAAUACCGGAUAGGAGCUCCUGCUGCAUGGUGGGGGUUGGAAAGUUUCGGCGGUUGGGGAUGGACUCGCGGCUUAUCAGCUUGUUGGUGGGGGAGUGGCUUACCAAGGCUUUGACGGGUAGCCGGCCUGAGAGGGUGACCGGCGACAUUGGGACUGAGAUACGGACCAGACUGCUACGGGAGGCAGCAGUGGGGAAUAUUGCACAAUGGGCGGAAGCCUGAUGCAGCAACGCCGCGUGCGGGAUGACGGCCUUCGGGUUGUAAACCGCUUUCGCCUGUGACGAAGCGUGAGUGACGGUAAUGGGUAAAGAAGCACCGGCUAACUACGUG
rnacentral:rRNA from 1 species